AUGGAGUUUCUCACUACUGCCCAGGCUGGAGUGCAAUGGCAAAAUCUUGGCUCACUGCAACCUCAACCUCCCAGGUUCAAGCGAUUCUUCUGCCUCAGCUUCCUGAGCAACUGAGAUUACAGCUCAGAGACCUAUGUGUGGGUGCUUUCAAAUGUAUACAUUAUCAAUCGAACGACUCAAGAUGGCACGGUGAGAACAACCCAGGAUUGAAGCUCUCAGUGAACACGCGGAGGGUGAGUCAGGGCUGCAUUUCCAGACGGAUCUUUGUUGCACACAGAACAGGGAAAUUCCCAGGUAUAAAAGAGAUGUGGGACACCAGCGCAGCGGUUUUGGCUGGUGCAGCUGACAGCCGGUGCAGCCAGCAGCCGGUGCUACAGCGCAGCGGCGCUCCACAGCGCUCUGCACAAAGUGCACUGGUCCGGGUGCCCUGUUUAACCGGCAAUCUAAGACUUGAGGUAUGUGUUAGAUAUAUGCAUUAGGAAAUAGUAAGUAUAAAGUUGAAUAUACAUCUCUGGAGUUCAGGAGAUAAGUCUGUGCUGGAGACAUAAAUGUGAAAAUUAUUAGAAUAAAAACAAUAUUAGUGAUAGUGAGCCUUGAUUAAAUACCUCAGAUAUAGACCUAGAACAAUCUGUGUUUAAAGGUUAGAAAAAUGGGAGAGAUCAGCACAAAUUUUUUAGAAAAAGUAGAAAGUGAUGCAGGAGGAGAAUUAUGCAUUGGAAGAAUUCAAUGA
rnacentral:lncRNA from 1 species